rnacentral:rRNA from 1 species
UAGAAAGAUUCCGGUUGAUCCUGCCGGAGGUCACCGCUAUUGGAGUUCGCUUAAGCCAUGCGAGUCGAGAGGGUUCGGCCCUCGGCGGACUGCUCAGUAACACGCGGACAACAUGCCCUUGGGUGGGGAAUAACCUCGGGAAACUGAGAACAAUGCCCCAUAGGCCAUCUCUGCUGGAACGCUUGAUGGCCCAAAGCCCCGGCGCCCAAGGAUUGGUCUGCGGCCUAUCAGGUAGUAGUGGGUGUAACGGACCCACUAGCCUACGACGGGUACGGGCCUUGAGAGAGGUCGCCCGGAGAUGGGCUCUGAGACAUGAGCCCAGGGUCUACGGACCGCAGCAGGCGCGAAAACUUCGCAAUGGGAGCAAUCCCGACGAGGGUAUUCCAAGUGCCAGCACUUAGUGUUGGCUGUUCUUCUGUCUAAAAAACAGGAGAAGUAAGGGCCGGGUAAGACGGGUGCCAGCCGCCGCGGUAAUACCCGCAGCCCGAGUGGUGAACACUUUUAUUGGGCCUAAAGCGUCCGUAGCCGGUCUGGUAAAUCCUUGGGUAAAUCGUACGGCCUAACCGUACGAAUUCUGGGGAGACUGUCAGACUUGGGACCGGGAGAGGUUAGAGGUACUCCAGGGGUAGGGGUGAAAUCCUGUAAUCCCGGGAAGACCACCAGUGGCGAAGGCUGUCUGCUAGAACGCGCCCGACGGUGAGGGAUGAAAGCUGGGGGAGCGAACCGGAUUAGAUACCCGGGUAGUCCCAGCUGUAAACGAUGCAGGCUAGGUGUUUGGACGGCCACGUGCCGUUCUAGUGCCGCAGGGAAGCUGUUAAGCCUGCCGCCUGGGGAGUACGGUCGCAAGAUUGAAACUUAAAGGAA